rnacentral:rRNA from 1 species
GACGAACGCUGGCGGCGUGCUUAACACAUGCAAGUCGAACGGAAAGGCCCUGCUGUUGUGGGGUGCUCGAGUGGCGAACGGAUGAGUAACACGUGAGUAAACUGCUCUUGAUUUUGGGAUAUCUUCAGGAAACUGGGGCUAAUACCGGAUAGGUGCUCCUGCUGCAUGGUGGGGGGUGGAAAGUUUCGGCGGUUGGGGAUGGACUCGCGGCUUAUCAGCUUGUUGGUGGGGUAGUGGCUUACCAAGGCUUUGACGGGUAGCCGGCCUGAGAGGGUGACCGGCCACAUUGGGACUGAGAUACGGCCCAGACUCCUACGGGAGGCAGCAGUGGGGAAUAUUGCACAAUGGGCGGAAGCCUGAUGCAGCAACGCCGCGUGCGGGAUGACGGCCUUCGGGUUGUAAACCGCUUUCGCCUGUGACGAAGCGUGAGUGACGGUAAUGGGUAAAGAAGCACCGGCUAACUACGUG